rnacentral:rRNA from 1 species
CACGUAGGGGGCUAGCGUUGCUCGGAAUCACUGGGCGUAAAGGGUGCGUAGGCGGGUCUUUAAGUCAGGGGUGAAAUCCUGGAGCUCAACUCCAGAACUGCCUUUGAUACUGAGGAUCUUGAGUUCGGGAGAGGUGAGUGGAACUGCGAGUGUAGAGGUGAAAUUCGUAGAUAUUGCAAGAACACCAGUGGCGAAGGCGGACUCACUGGCCCGAUACUGACGCUGAGGCACGAAAGCGUGGGAGCAA